UAUAGAAAGAUGCAUAGAAAAAAAAAAUAAAGUUUUUAGCAUGAUCAUGAAUUUUAUUCAGCAUGAUGCCAUUAUUCACUUUCCAAUGUAUCGAUGAGAAAAGAUUUAUGAAAAGCAUGAUAUGUUUUAAAGAACUCUCAGAUUGCUAUGUACGACCACCGCCAGUGGGUAACAGUAACUAGGCAUACGACCCCAGCCAGUGGGUACGACCCCCGCCAGUGGGUAAUAGUAACUGGAAGAUAGACCCUGCAGUGGUAAAGGCCUUGCCGUGGGAAUAAGAGCGGCCAUAGCUACACUACCAUCUGAGAGUAUGAAUUUCAAAGUAUAGAAUAAUGGCAAAAGUUUUAUGAUGCAUAAUCAUAUUUAUGAAGUUGCAUGAAUGGACAUGCAUAGUUUUAUGACUAGUUGGAUUAUUUGAAAUGUUUACUUUAUUACGAGCACAGAUUUUAAAGCAUGAAUAAUAACAUCACAGAUUUUAAAGCAUGAUUAAUGAUGAGUACGGAUUUCAAAGCAAGAAUAAUGAUAAGUACGGAUUUCAAAGCAGUGAAUAAAGACAAAAGGUUUACAUCUGGUUUGAUUAUAAGAAAUGCUUACUUUGUUACAACUGUUAGUUUCUUAAAAUAAUGCACUAGUAUGAAAAAUAUUAUGCUUGAUCUGAUAAGAUUAUGCAUUGUUACUUACUGAGCUUUAUAGCUCAUAUCCAUUUAUUUAUGUUCUUACAGAUGAAUAGGAGAUGCUAGGAACAAGGAGCGUGACAUGCUUCAGGGUUAUGGGGAAAAGAAAAUGAAACAUUAAAUGUUGCUAUUUUUAGAUGCUUUGUAAUCAAUCUUUUAUUGAUGAAAUAUUUGAUAACAUUUAAGAAUAUAAUUGUUCAUAAUUGAUUUGAAGUUUUGAAGUGGCUGCGUGUUAUUGCGGGUAAAGGUUUGCAAUAGCACGGCCGUGUCAUGAUCCGAAUUCGGGGCGUGACA
rnacentral:lncRNA from 1 species